GAUGAACGCUAGCUACAUGCUUAACACAUGCAAGUCGAGGGAGCGGCGCACGGGUGAGUAACACGUACCCAACCUCCCCUUUACUCGUGGAUAGCCUUUCGAAAUAAAGAUUAAUACCCGCUAUAAAGGCUUGGGAUGCGUUCGAUUAGGUUGUUGGUGAGUUCACGGCUCACCAAGCCGUCGAUGGAUAGGGUUUCUGAGAGGAAGGUCCCCCACAUGGGAACUGAGACAAGGGCCAAACUGCUACGGGAGGAAGCAGGAAGGAAUAUUGGUCAAUGGGAGGUAGCCUGAACCAGCCAAGUAGCAUGAAGGAUGAAGGCGUAGGGGUCGUAAACUUCUGUUAUAUAAGAAUAGGUAUUAUAUGAAUAAGGAUCGGCUAACUCCGUGCCAGCAGCCGCGGUAAUUC
rnacentral:rRNA from 1 species